rnacentral:rRNA from 1 species
CCUACGGGUGGCAGCAGUGAGGAAUAUUGGUCAAUGGGCGGAAGCCUGAACCAGCCAAGUAGCGUGCAGGAUGACGGCCCUACGGGUUGUAAACUGCUUUUAUACGGGAAUAACGCGCCUUACGUGUAGGUCUUUGCAUGUACCGUAUGAAUCCGGACAGGCUAAUUUCGUGCCAGCAGCCGCGGUAAUACGGUAGGUCCGGGCGUUAUCCGGAUUUAUUGGGUUUAAAGGGAGCGUAGGCCGCAUGUCAAGCUUGCUGUGAAAUGUACGGGCUCAACCCGGGCCGUGCAGCGCGAACGGGCGGGCUUGAGUCCGCGGAAAGCAGGCGGAAUUCGUGGUGUAGCGGUGAAAUGCUUAGAUAUGACGAAGAACCCCGAUUGCGAAGGCAGCUUGCUGCAGCGGAACUGACGCUGAUGCUCGAAAGCGCGGGUAUCGAACAGGAUUAGAUACCCGAGUAGUC